CCUACGGGAGGCAGCAGUGGGGAAUUUUGGACAAUGGGCGCAAGCCUGAUCCAGCCAUGCCGCGUGCGGGAAGAAGGCCUUCGGGUUGUAAACCGCUUUUGUCAGGGAAGAAAUCCUUUGGGUUAAUACCUCGGAGGGAUGACGGUACCUGAAGGAUAAGCACCGGCUAACUACGUGCCAGCAGCCGCGGUAAUACGUAGGGUGCGAGCGUUAAUCGGAAUUACUGGGCGUAAAGCGUGCGCAGGCGGUUAUGCAAGACAGAUGUGAAAUCCCCGGGCUCAACCUGGGAACUGCAUUUGUGACUGCAUAGCUAGAGUACGGUAGAGGGGGAUGGAAUUCCGCGUGUAGCAGUGAAAUGCGUAGAUAUGCGGAGGAACACCGAUGGCGAAGGCAAUCCCCUGGACCUGUACUGACGCUCAUGCACGAAAGCGUGGGGAGCAAACAGGAUUAGAUACCCUGGUAGUCCACGCCCUAAACGAUGUCAACUGGUUGUUGGACGGCUUGCUGUUCAGUAACGAAGCUAACGCGUGAAGUUGACCGCCUGGGGAGUACGGCCGCAAGGUUGAAACUCAAAUGAAUUGACGGCUGAGACGNGCGAGCGACGACGAGGGAGGAGG
rnacentral:rRNA from 1 species